rnacentral:rRNA from 1 species
GCUGGUGCUUGCACUGGUGGAUUAGUGGCGAACGGGUGAGUAACACGUGAGUAACCUGCCCCUGACUUCGGGAUAAGCCCGGGAAACUGGGUCUAAUACCGGAUAUGACUUCCUGCUGCAUGGCAGGGGGUGGAAAGAUUUAUCGGUUGGGGAUGGACUCGCGGCCUAUCAGCUUGUUGGUGAGGUAAUGGCUCACCAAGGCGACGACGGGUAGCCGGCCUGAGAGGGUGACCGGCCACACUGGGACUGAGACACGGCCCAGACUCCUACGGGAGGCAGCAGUGGGGAAUAUUGCACAAUGGGCGAAAGCCUGAUGCAGCGACGCCGCGUGAGGGAUGACGGCCUUCGGGUUGUAAACCUCUUUCAGUAGGGAAGAAGCCCCUUUUGGGGGGUGACGGUACUUGCAAAAAAAGCCCCGGCUAACUACGUGCCAACACCCGCGGUAAUACAUAGGGCGCACGCGAUAUCCAGAUUUAUUGG